rnacentral:rRNA from 1 species
CGGUUGAUCCUGCCGGAGGUCACUGCUAUUGGGAUUCGACUAAGCCAUGCGAGUCGAGAGGGUUCGCCCUCGGCUGACGGCUCAGUAACACGCGGAUAAUCUGCCCUUAGGUGGAGGAUAAUCUCGGGAAACUGAGAAUAAUACUCCAUAGGUCUAGGAGCUGGAAUGCACCUAGACUGAAAGUUCCGACGCCUAAGGAUGAGUCUGCGGACUAUCAGGUUGUAGUCAGGGUAAAGACCUGACUAGCCUACGACGGAUAUGGGUUGUGAGAGCAAUAACCCAGAGAUGAUAUCUGAGACACGAUAUCAGGCCCUACGGGGCGCAGCAGGCGCGAAAACUUCACACUGCGCGAAAGCGCGAUGAGGGAAUCCCAAGUGCUUGCACGUAAGUGUAAGCUGUUUUUCUGUCUAAAUCACGGAGAGAGUAAGGGCUGGGUAAGACGGGUGCCAGCCGCCGCGGUAAUACCUGCAGCUCAAGUGGUGACCGUUAUUAUUGGGCCUAAAACGUCCGUAGCCGGUUUAGUAAAUGCCUGGGUAAAUCGUGUAGCUUAACUAUACGAAUUCCGGGUAGACUGCUGAACUUGAGACCGGGAGAAGCUAGAGGUACUCCUGGGGUAGAGGUGAAAUUCUGUAAUCCUAGGGGGACCACCAGUGGCGAAGGCGUCUAGCUAGAACGGGUCUGACGGUGAGGGACGAAGCCCUGGGGCGCAAACGGGAUUAGAUACCCCGGUAGUCCAGGGUGUAAACGCUGCUUGCUUGAUGUUAGUCGGGCUCCGAGCCCGAUUAGUGUCGGAGAGAAGUUGUUAAGCAAGCUGCCUGGGAAGUACGAUCGCAAGAUUGAAACUUAAAGGAAUUGGCGGGGGAGCAC